GGAUGCAAAAGUCGUAACACGGUUUCCGUAGGUGAACCUGCGGAAGGAUCAUUCACACAUUGCGUCUCAAAAGUGGUUUCAACAUCGGCGAGAGAGAUUUGUUGAAGUGCUUUUUAAAAAGCAUCAUUCCGCGUCUCUUUUAUGAUGGUUGGGAUGGCUUUUGAUGAUGCGUUCCCGAACCAAUCAUUUGGAAUUCUUGAAUCAUUUUUUAUUUCGCCACAACGUUUUUCUUAUUUGAAAAAAAAAAUUGUUUGCCGAUUCAUGAAAAGAAUAGAACUGACGGCCCGUUUGGGGUGCGGAAUGCUCUGUUUCGUUCAUGGAUGGGUGGGGGGAAGCGGGGAGUAGUAUGGGGCUUUGUGGGGUGUAUGCAUGCAGUGUGUGAUCGGGGCUGAUGUUACCACCAGCUGCCACAUACAUACAGUGCAUAAUGCAUGUCCGCAAAGAUAUCCAUAUAUUUUCUGCUUUUCACUAUUUUUUUUUAUUUUUUUUGUAAAACUUUCAGCAAUGGAUGUCUUGGCUCACGCAUCGAUGAAGGACGCAGCGAAAUGCGAUACGCAUUGUGAAUUGCAGAUUUUAGUGAACCAUCAGAUUUCUGAACGCAUAUGGCGCUGCUGGGAUACCCCAGCAGCACGUCUGUUUCAGUGUCUUUUGAUCCUUUCAAAAAUUAUGCUAUAACAUACAGUAUAUGGUGUUGAAAGGUGUAUAUAUAUGCUAAUUAUAUAUAUACGUUUGAUUCAUUAUAUCCUGUAGGGUUAUAGUUUCUUUUGCGCGUUGCACAAAGAGAGGAGUUUCAUUCCUCUCUAUGCAUCGUGUAAAGUUUUGUAAGGGGAUUGGUUGCACACAUAGUGAGUAAUGGAAAUAUCCCUCAUAUUAUCCUUUCGUUCAUGAAAGAGAUAUGGUGUGGUUGUUGCUAUUAUAGUUGCAGCUACUAUAUAUAUCUCGUUAGAGAGUGGACGGGAAUGCACAGAUGAUUAUUGUUUGUGCAGGAUUAUAAUGAGUGAUGUUUUUUUCUACUCGAAUUGCAAGGUGUGUAAUGUAUGUGAUCUCCUUUUUAGAUAAAUGAUUUGUCCUAGCCCUGAAAUCAGACGAGGUUACCCGCUGAAUUUAAGCAUAUUAUUAAGCGGAGGA
rnacentral:sRNA from 1 species